UUUGCGUAUUUGCAAUGCCGUGACUGCAGAGGUAUCCUUCUCUGUGUACCAAAUAUGAUUCUUCGUGUAUUGGGUUUGCACAUGCUUGUGAUUACCUACUCUAUUUGCGCUGUAAUGCCAUAUGUAUAUGCACUGGUAGAGGUAAAAGAUAAAUUCAGAGAAAGAUAAAAAGGAAAGGACAGAGAAAGCUGAGGAAAAUGAUAUUUGGAUGGAUACAGUUAUAGUUUAGCUAUUGCGAAAAAUGAUUGCUCCUCUCCUAUUUAGUGAAAUGUGUAUGGGCUCUUUUAUGUAUGGUGGUUAGGACCAGCAACUUGAUUACGUGUAGUCUACUUUAACUGACACAUCUUUAAACCAAACUGAACAAAUCCAUUUUAGUUCUUCUAUUCCUGAACUUAUGUUUCCAUGGUUUCAUGGGUUCGGUUUGUGUUGCACAUCUAUGUGUCAACGACGACUAUCAAACAAGAAAAUUGCUCGCCAGCUAUAGCCUAUACAUGUCAUCUGUCAUGGAAAAUGAAAUGCUCAUGAUCACCGCUUGCUUUCAUGCCGCCACGGGCUAUUGAUCAACCCAGUGCGCGGGCAACUGAACGGAUCUCCAAUCUAGCGUCCUCCCUAUGGCACCGCUCCACCGUGCCGACCAGCAUUGAAUAUGCCAUCGAUCUGCCAAGAAGCCGCCUAUCGAUCUGCCAAGCAGCCGCCACGGGAUGGUCAUCCAGAACGCUAUCCUGCCUCCAUUCAAGCUCAGUUGUAUUGCCGACUGAUGCAACCAUGUGCUGAUCUGCCGGCAGUGAGCGGGCAGAGUUGAGGGAAGGCGGCCAGCUGCCUGGCGGGUGCACCGGCGAGCACAACGUGGAAGAGCCUGACAGCCCGUCCACUACCAGCUUAGUUGCUGACUCUUUGAUUGUCGUGCUGCCCCGUGCAAUGGCCAGCUGGUGAAGGGGAAGCCAUCGGAUUUAUAGGACUUUGUUGGCAUCACCACCAUGCUUGUUAUCACAAUCAGUUUCACUGAGGAAAAAACUGCCAGCGACGUCUGCCCCUGUGCUCAUCAAGGAUUCCACUCUCCCUCUCUCUGUUGGCUGGUCCUGCCCAUGAAUAGGAUAAAUCACAGCCGUGGGGGUGCGCGGGUCCCAGCCAUGCGAUGUCCGGUUGUCGGAGCUUGACGCCCCAUGGGCGACGGUGCUGACCCACCCCCCUGGUGCCAACCCCCUGUCGAGCCAGCAGCCCUGGGCAGAGGAAGGCCACCCAGUCAUUGUUUUCUCCACGAACAGACCAGCACUUGAUCGACGUCUUCAGAGUGUUGGUGCUCUGCCUUUCAGCAGCAGCAACACUUCAGCGAAGUGGGCGGUUUUGUUGGGACAACGGAAUCCGCUCAUCUGAAGUGAAACUGGGAAUUGGACGAGCGCUCUUCUACUCAGCUACUCGGACAUGCCCUCAAGGUCUCAGCUCAUGAGCCUCCCACUCUUCCUUGUGAAGCAGCAAAUGCAACAUACCUAAAGGUGCAUAAACUAAGGUGUACAUAAUUUAUUUUGUGGAGGAAGAAUGUGGCAACUUAAACAGUAUUACAUGUGAUGCCAUGUCGCUGCAGGGAAGCAUUCGCACACUCACGUUUGGCAUGUUCCAUAAGCAGACCUGUCGUCAUUGGUUGAGAUUUUGUUCUUUAGCAUAGGUUCAUGAAUGCCAAGCGCAUCCUAUCAACAUCAUCAAACUUUGGGCUCUGGCAGUUUGCUCUGUUUGUGAGGAUGGGUCAGUAGUGCGCUCACCAAGUGGACAGCGGUAGAAGCAACACUCAAAAGGAGCGACACAACAAAGACAGAGGACGACAUCGAGCGGAGGCUAUAUAGAAUGAUUGCAGGUUUUAACCAAGAAGUCCUCAAUAGGUGGACUGGCUCAAAAUGGAGAAGCAUGCUGGUAGCUUUUCUGUUGAUUGUAUUAAGCAUUUAAGUUCGUAGCAAUUCAUAACGUCAAAUCAUUGGGAUGCUUUGUAAUAUUUUAGAAAACUGUGUUUCUUUGCCGGAUCUAGCGUGCUGUCUAUAGAUGUGCUUACCUAUUUCCUUCUCACAUAUGGAAUGGGUUUUCGGAUAGCCUAGACAUACGGAGACAAUUUGGGGGUGUCGAUUCUCUCUCUCUCUCUCUCUCUCUCAUAGAAUAAUGAACAACCAAUAAGACUAAUAUUAUAUACCUUCUCAUCA